CACACGACUCUCGGCAACGGAUAUCUCGGCUCUCGCAUCGAUGAAGAACGUAGCGAAAUGCGAUACCUGGUGUGAAUUGCAGAAUCCCGCGAACCAUCGAGUCUUUGAACGCAAGUUGCGCCCGAGGCCACCCGGCUGAGGGCACGCCUGCCUGGGCGUCUCGC
rnacentral:rRNA from 3 species